rnacentral:rRNA from 1 species
UACGGAGGGUGCAAGCGUUAAUCGGAAUUACUGGGCGUAAAGCGCACGCAGGUGGCUGAGAAAGUCGAUUGUGAAAGCCCUGGGCUUAACCUGGGAAUUGCAGUCGAAACUACUCGGCUAGAGUAUGGGAGAGGGUAGUGGAAUUCCCGGUGUAGCGGUGAAAUGCGUAGAUAUCGUGAGGAAGACCAGUUGCGAAGGCGGAUCUCUGGGCAGUUCCUGACACUGAGGCACGAAGGCCAGGGGAGCAAACGGG